AGCACCACCAGACAUACUGUAAUUAAUUUUGAAAAUGUGGCUACCUGCAGAUUUGUCAGGAGAAACUUGGCAAGUCAAAAGGGAGUGGCAUGAUACAUUCAAAGUGAUGAAUAAGAAAAAUCUCCAGCCAAGAAUACCCUAUCCAGCAAGGUUAUCAUUCAGAAUAGAAGGAGAGACAAAAGGAUUUUCAGACAAACAAAAACUAAAGGUUUGUUACCACUAAAGCAGCCCUGAAAGAAACAUUAAAGGGGACUCUUUCAAUGGGAAAGAAAGGCCAAAGGUGACAAAGACAAAAAAAGAUCAGAGAAAAUCUCCAGAAAUAAUUAUAAGAAAAUAGUAAGGUGGUAAUAUAUUAUACCUAUUAAUAAUUGUUUUGAAUUUCAAUAGACAAGACCCUCCAAUUAAAAGACAUAUGGUGUCAAAAUUA